rnacentral:rRNA from 1 species
AACGAACGCUGGCGGCGUGCCUAACACAUGCAAGUCGAACGAAACCUUCGGGUCUAUUGGCGCACGGGGGCGUAAGGCGUGGGGAGCUGCACUUGGGUUCGGAAUAACUCCCCGAAAGGGGUGCUAAGACCAGAUAAUGUCUUAGGACCAAAGAUUUAUCGCUUUUGGAUGGGCCCGCGUUGGCUUAGCUGGUUGGGAGGGUAAAAGCCGACCAAGGCGACGAUCCAUAGCUGGUCUGAGAGGAUGCUCAUCCACACUGGGACUGAGACACGGCCCAGAACCCUACGGGAAGGAGCAGUGUGGUACACUGGACGCGGGGGCCUGGUCUGAUCCAGCAAUGCCGCGGGAGUGAUGAUGCGGUUAGUGUACUAAAGCUCCUUUACCCGGGAUGAUAAUGACAGUACCGGGUGAAUAAGCUCCGGCUAACUACGUG